rnacentral:lncRNA from 1 species
CAAGAACCCUAAAGGAAGAAAGAAGAAUUUUGAAUAACAAGGUUGUAUGCAAUGCAAAAAGCAAGCCACAACCGAGAAAGAAAGAAAUAUGAGUGUGGAUUUAAGUGGGCCAUGGCUGGCAUUGUAAAGAGAGAAGUAUGGGCAUGGAAGAGUAUAGCGAGAAGAGAAAAGUAUUUUGGACUUAUUCCAAUGGCAAUAAUCUAGGUGGUUUGGAAAGAAAAGAAUAAGAGAGUUUUUUAGUGCAUGGAGGAGAGCAUCAAGAAGCCCAGGGAGAGACGGUUCCAAUCCCUUAAUGUGUUGAUUUUGAAACAACAAUUGUAUUUCAUAGAGAAUUUAGGUGAACUAUGAUAUGUAAAUUUUUUUGUACAUGGUUUUUUGCACCCUCUUGGUGCAUGUAAUUAAUACAUUUCAUACGUUUUACCUCAAAAAAAAAUCAAAUAUCUAACCUCCAAGUCAAGCAUAAGUAUAAAUAGAAAAGAAAGAGGUUUCUGACAACUCAGUUGUUCCUCUGCCUACCCACAUUGAUUCCUAGAACUAAUGGCCAAAUAAGACCCAAUAACUUAAGUAAAUUAAACAACCAACAAGCAGUUGUUUCAUGUUUCAUGUUUCAUGUUUCACGUUUUCCAAGAAAAUUGCUAGAAAAAGGAAACAAAUAAAAGAAGUUCAGUUCAACAAAUACAAAGCAUUGCUUUAAGAAAAUUAUCCUCCGUUCGAUAUAUGAUAACAUUUUCUAGUUUCAUCUUCUAAUUCAUGUGUUUAUGCAUAAGAAUGAAAUAAUACUUAAGAAAUGAUUGUGAAAAGAAGGAUAG